rnacentral:sRNA from 1 species
ACAACUCCCAUUCCCCUCUUAAAGGGUCUUACCGAUGAAUCCGGCGCCUCCGACAAUCUCCCCGACUCACUUCUCCAGCUGAAACUCACCGAAAUUCUCCGCGACGCCCGUCUCUAUGCGAUCUUUCGAAUGUACCUCCAGGACAUUCGCGGACCGGUUCAUGAACUGCAAUUCCUUGUGGAAGCCACACGGAUCUUGGAUAGUAUUCAGAGAAAAGUAGGAUUUGGGGGAAGCGGAUCUGUCAAAAAUUCAAAAAAUUAUUUAAAAUUUGCAGCUAGAAUCCGAUAGUCAAAUCGCGUACGACAUCUGGCAGCUUUACGGGCAAUUUGUGCAUGAAAGUGCUCAGGAGCGAGUCCGAAUUGCGGAGAGCCUCGUUGAACAGUACAAGUCGGCGGUGGAGGUUAACGAUAUUAGGGUUCUAGAGGGAAUUAUUGAGAUGG